UGGAAUGGAAUGACUCAGUGCAGAGCAAG
rnacentral:piRNA from 1 species